GUGGGGAAUAUUGGACAAUGGGCGAAAGCCUGAUCCAGCAAUGCCGCGUGAGUGAUGAAGGCCUUAGGGUUGUAAAGCUCUUUUACCAGGGAUGAUAAUGACAGUACCUGGAGAAUAAGCUCCGGCUAACUCCGUGCCAGCAGCCGCGGUAAUACGGAGGGAGCUAGCGUUGUUCGGAAUUACUGGGCGUAAAGCGCGCGUAGGCGGUUUAUCAAGUCAGGGGUGAAAUCCCGGGGCUCAACCCCGGAACUGCCCUUGAAACUGGUUCACUAGAAUCCUGGAGAGGCGAGUGGAAUUCCGAGUGUAGAGGUGAAAUUCGUAGAUAUUCGGAAGAACACCAGUGGCGAAGGCGACUCGCUGGACAGGUAUUGACGCUGAGGUGCGAAAGCGUGGGGAGCAAACAGGAUUAGAAACCCCAGUAGUCC
rnacentral:rRNA from 1 species